GUUGGAAUGGAGAAGAUGGAAACCAGAAACCUGGUUUACCAUCGAUUGAUUGAUUGGUUGUCCAUGUUUUCAAAGGGGAGGCAGACCUGGUGAGAUUAGAGUAAUUGGCUUGAAUAAAAAUAUGUCUCAACCAGGUUCUAGUUGCUGUUGGUUCCAUCUGUUCUGAAGCAGUUGGUGGCAAAUUCUGGGGCAGUUAGAAACCGUUGGAGCAGGGUUAUCCGGAAUGAGCUUGGGUCCAGGGGACACUGAGGGGAGAAGGGGAACCUUCUCCAGAACCUCCUGGAGUUUUAACUGUCUAGAGCACUCAAAAUUCCCCAUCUGUGGGAACGCUUGGAUGAGUUUGAAGAGUGAGGAUUUUGGCAAGAGGGGAGGUCAGAAAUCAGGGCUCCUGGAGGAGAGGAAUGGGACCAGCCUGCUUCUGCUUCAACCAUCUCCUCCACGGCUCGGCUGGAACUUCAGGAGACAAACCACGAGGACAGCGGGGGCCUCUGGGUCAACUGCAAUGGCAGGAAUUGCUGCAAAAACAUAACAGAGCUCCACGUGAGUAUUCCCCAAUCCAUUUCUGUGGAUCUUGGUGGGCCCCUAUUUGUGGUCCAGAUGGGCCCAGGGCAUAGAAGCUCACUUCCCCACUCCACUUCCCCCAGGCUGAAAUUGCUCUUUCCUGUCUUUUUGGAGCAUGCAAACGCCCCUGCCUCCGGGCACGAACACACCUAGCUGGCAUUACCCGCAGAGAUUGUGAUAAAGGAGUGGGGCAGGGAGGAGGAGCCUAGGGUUGGCAGGACAGCCAUUCUGGAAUCCCUUCAGGGACAAUGUCUUUUGCCCUGUGGUGACGGGCCCUCUGGGGCCAAAGCUGCUUUCACAUAUUUGGUUGCCCUGAGCUUGAGAAAAAUCUGCCUCCCCCUCCCUUUCCAUAUGAUGUAAUUCAUGCCACAUGUAUGCGUAGUUUAAUGCAAUGAAGACAUACAGAAAACCCGUUCUAACUCCUGAACGCAGAGAGUUUCUUUGGCAAGGACCCCUGAUCCACCCUGCUUACUCCAGAGCCACUGUGAUCCCCUCCCAGGUUACUGUUCAAACAGGUGUCACUUCUGAUAGGAGGGCACAUUAAAAAAAAAUUAACCAUCUGUCACCCCUGUGUUGACUGCCCUGAUGGUGUGCCCUGAGGCAAUUACCUCACUACCCACUUUCCGGAUACGUACGUAAGUGUUGUGGGGUUGAGGGUGGGGUAAAUAUCCAGUGCUUGAUCGACUAAUCAGUGGUAUUUACUGAGAACCUACUGUAUGCAGAGGCCAACAUUAAGUGGUUGGGACAGUAAUAAUAAUAAUGUUGGUAUUUGUUAAGCGCUUACUAUGUGCCGAGCACUGUUCUAAGCGCUGGGGUAGACAUAGGGGAAUCAGGUUGUCCCACAUGGGGCUCACAGUCUUAAUCCCCAUUUUACAGAUGAGGGAUCUGAGGCACAGAGAAGUUAAGUGACUUGCCCACAGUCACACAGCCGACCAAGUGGCAGAGCUGGGAUUCGAACUCAUGAGCCCUGACUCCAAAGCCCGUGCUCUUUCCACUGAGCCACGCUGCUUCUUGUGUACUGCUUCUCGCUGCUCCUACUGUACUGUAAUAAUAAUGUUGGUAUUUGUUAAGCGCUUACUAUGUGCCGAGCACUGUUCUAAGCGCUGGGGUAGACAUAGGGGAAUCAGGUUGUCCCAUGUGGGGCUCACAGUCUUGAUCCCCAUUUUACAGAUGAGGGAACUGAGGCACAGAGAAGUUAAGUGACUUGCCCACAGUCACACAGCUGACAAGUGGCAGAGCUGGGAUUCGAACUCAUGAGCCCUGACUCCAAAGCCCAUGCUCUUUCCACUGAGCCACGCUGCUUCUCCAUACAGUACAGUAGAAUUGGAAGAUAUAAUCUAGAAGUCUUGAGAUCACUUAUUGUUAGACAGUUCCAAUCACCAGCCUAGUAAGCGCUUAACAUCAGCGCUUAGAACAGUGCUUGGCACAUAGUAAGCGCUUAACAAAUACCAACAUUAUUAUUACCAGCCUCUUCUAGCUCAAAGUUUCCCAGGAUUCUUCAUGCUUCUUCCUGCCAAAUCUUAGAGAAGCAGCGUGUCUUAAUGGAAAGAGCAGGGCUUGGGAGUCAGAGGACAUGAGUUCUAAUCCCGG
rnacentral:lncRNA from 1 species